UACAGAGGUCUCAAGCGUUGUUCGGAUUCAUUGGGCGUAAAGGGUGCGUAGGCGGCGCGGUAAGUCGGGUGUGAAAUCUCGGAGCUUAACUCCGAAACUGCAUUCGAUACUGCCGUGCUUGAGGACUGGAGAGGAGACUGGAAUUUACGGUGUAGCGGUGAAAUGCGUAGAUAUCGUAAGGAAGACCAGUGGCGAAGGCGGGUCUCUGGGCCGAUACUGACGCUGAGGAGCGAAAGCGUGGGGGAGCGAACAGG
rnacentral:rRNA from 1 species